UACGUAGGGUGCAAGCGUUGUCCGGAAUUAUUGGGCGUAAAGAGCUCGUAGGCGGUCUGUCGCGUCGGCUGUGAAAACCCGGGGCUCAACCCCGGGCCUGCAGUCGAUACGGGCAGACUAGAGUGCGGUAGAGGAGACUGGAAUUCCUGGUGUAGCGGUGAAAUGCGCAGAUAUCAGGAGGAACACCGGUGGCGAAGGCGGGUCUCUGGGCCGUAACUGACGCUGAGGAGCGAAAGCGUGGGUAGCAAACAGG
rnacentral:rRNA from 1 species